rnacentral:rRNA from 1 species
CCGAAGGGAAACCGAGUCUUAACUGGGCGUUGAGUUGCAAGGUAUAGACCCGAAACCCGGUGAUCUAGCCAUGGGCAGGUUGAAGGUUGGGUAACACUAACUGGAGGACCGAACCGACUAAUGUUGAAAAAUUAGCGGAUGACUUGUGGCUGGGGGUGAAAGGCCAAUCAAACCGGGAGAUAGCUGGUUCUCCCCGAAAUCUAUUUAGGUAGAGCCUUGAGCGGACACCUUCGGGGGUAGAGCACUGUUUCGGCUAGGGGUCCAUCCCGGAUUACCAACCCGAUGCAAACUGCGAAUACCGAAGAGUGAUACUCAGGAGACACACGGCGGGUGCUAACGUUCGUCGUGGAGAGGGAAACAACCCAGACCGCCAGCUAAGGUCCCAAAGUCUAUAUUAAGUGGGAAACGAAGUGGGAAGGCUUAGACAGCUAGGAUGUUGGCUUAGAAGCAGCCAUCAUUUAAAGAAAGCGUAAUAGCUCACUAGUCGAGUCGGCCUGCGCGGAAGAUGUAACGGGGCUCAAAUAUAGCACCGAAGCUGCGGCAUCAGAAUUUAUUCUGUUGGGUAGGGGAGCGUUGUGUAAGCGGAUGAAGGUGGCUCGAGAGGGUUGCUGGACGUAUCACAAGUGCGAAUGCUGACAUAAGUAACGAUAAAACGAGUGAAAAACUCGUUCGCCGGAAGACCAAGGGUUCCUGUCCAACGUUAAUCGGGGCAGGGUGAGUCGGCCCCUAAGGCGAGGCUGAAAAGCGUAGUCGAUGGGAAACGGGUUAAUAUUCCCGUACUUGGAUAAACUGCGAUGUGGGGACGGAGAAGGUUAGGUUAGCAGACUGUUGGAUGUCUGUUUAAGGUGGUAGGUGGAAGACUUAGGCAAAUCCGGGUCUUUAUAAACACUGAGAGCUGAUGACGAGGUCUUAAGGGACUGAAGUAACUGAUACCCUGCUUCCAGGAAAAGCCACUAAGCUUCAGGUUUAUCUAAACCGUACUGAAAACCGACACAGGUGGUCAGGUAGAGAAUACUCAGGCGCUUGAGAGAACUCGGGUGAAGGAACUAGGCAAAAUAGCACCGUAACUUCGGGAGAAGGUGCGCUUACAGUAAUUGUAGUCCCUUGCGGAUGAAGGUGAAGUAAGUCGAAGAUACCAGCUGGCUGCAACUGUUUAUUAAAAACACAGCACUCUGCAAACACGAAAGUGGACGUAUAGGGUGUGAUGCCUGCCCGGUGCUGGAAGGUUAAUUGAUGGUGUUAUCGAAAGAGAAGCUCCUGAUCGAAGCCCCAGUAAACGGCGGCCGUAACUAUAACGGUCCUAAGGUAGCGAAAUUCCUUGUCGGGUAAGUUCCGACCUGCACGAAUGGCAUAAUGAUGGCCAGGCUGUCUCCACCCGAGACUCAGUGAAAUUGAAAUCGCCGUGAAGAUGCGGUGUACCCGCGGCUAGACGGAAAGACCCCGUGAACCUUUACUAUAGCUUGACACUGAACAUUGAAUUUUGAUGUGUAGGAUAGGUGGGAGCCUUUGAAGCAGUGACGCCAGUCAUUGUGGAGGCGACCUUGAAAUACCACCCUUUAACGUUUGAUGUUCUAACGAAGUGCCUGAAACGGGUACUCGGACAGUGUCUGGUGGGUAGUUUGACUGGGGCGGUCUCCUCCCAAAGCGUAACGGAGGAGCACGAAGGUUUGCUAAUGACGGUCGGACAUCGUCAGGUUAGUGCAAUGGUAUAAGCAAGCUUAACUGCGAGACAGACAAGUCGAGCAGGUGCGAAAGCAGGUCAUAGUGAUCCGGUGGUUCUGAAUGGAAGGGCCAUCGCUCAACGGAUAAAAGGUACUCCGGGGAUAACAGGCUGAUACCGCCCAAGAGUUCAUAUCGACGGCGGUGUUUGGCACCUCGAUGUCGGCUCAUCACAUCCUGGGGCUGAAGUAGGUCCCAAGGGUAUGGCUGUUCGCCAUUUAAAGUGGUACGCGAGCUGGGUUUAGAACGUCGUGAGACAGUUCGGUCCCUAUCUGCCGUGGGCGUUGGAUGAUUGAUUGGGGCUGCUCCUAGUACGAGAGGACCGGAGUGGACGCAUCACUGGUGUUCCAGUUGUCUCGCCAGAGGCAUUGCUGGGUAGCUAAAUGCGGAAGAGAUAAGUGCUGAAAGCAUCUAAGCACGAAACUUGCCAAGAGAUGAGUCAUCCCUGACUUUAAGUCAGUAAGGGUUGUUGUAGACUACGACGUAGAUAGGUUGGGUGUGUAAGUGUAGUGAUACAUUGAGCUAACCAAUACUAAUUGCCCGAGAGGCUUAACUAU